UACGUAGGGGGCAAGCGUUGUCCGGAAUCAUUGGGCGUAAAGCGCGUGUAGGCGGCCCGAUAAGUCCGCUGUGAAAGUCCAGGGCUCAACCCUGGGAUGCCGGUGGAUACUGUCGGGCUCGAGUCCGGAAGAGGAGUGUGGAAUUCCUGGUGUAGCGGUGAAAUGCGCAGAUAUCAGGAGGAACACCAAUGGCGAAGGCAGCACUCUGGGACGUGACUGACGCUGAGACGGGAAAGCGUGGGGAGCAAACAGG
rnacentral:rRNA from 1 species